rnacentral:lncRNA from 1 species
CUAUCUUUUUUUUUUAUUUGUCCUCAAGUUUUUUUUUACAAAAAUAAAUACUAGUUUUGGAGGAUUUUGCCUAUGUUUACUAUGUGGGUACAUGAUAUGUUGAUAUCUCCUUAUAGAGAGACAACGUGAAAACAGCUUUUUAUAUACAUAGUUUCUUCAAAACAUAAACUGCUUUUGGAGAAGGAAGCAAAUGAAAAUAUUUUCAGGAAGUUCUUUUGAGUGAGGAAAUGGAAUUUAACAGCACAGCUCUAUUUCUAUUUCUCUGCUUUCAUCAUUAAGUUUAUUAAAACAAAGAAGAGAUACUGAGAUGCCUAAACUUUCCAUUUAUCCCUUAAUUCUCAAAAUUAGCUGGUUGCCAUAAAUGUAGAAGUAGACACUCACAUUUAUAUGGCUAUUUCAUGGUUUCAGAAACCAGAGAGUAAGAACUUUAUACCCUUGUGUUUCACUGGAAAAGUCCAUGUUGGUGAAGGACAGUCCAAGUUUAAGCUAGCGUGGUGGCAUUCCUUCUGAGCAAUUGUGACGAGCUGGCCAACUUUCUCCUCAGUGGCGAGGUUUUGGUGAGAGGAGCAUGCAGCAGUGCUGACUCCAGAGUUGCAUAUUCUAGACUAUGGUGUGAGAUAAAGAACAACGGUGUCUGGUUUCACAAAUUCAUCUUACUGUGCCUUCAGCCACCCUUCUGGCAAGUGUUUACUGUCCGCGUUAGGUGUGCUAGUCUUAGACCAAAACAAUGAGGACUUCUAGACCAAGUCUCUGCUGUAAGAUUGCUUAAUUUUUCAGAAAUUCAUCUUUCCUGGACUUGGUCAUCAGCUUGGUCAGAUGUGAGUAGGAUGGAUGUGUCUUUUGUGUCUAUGUAUAUAUAUAUAUAUCUGUAUGUCAUAUCUAACCUUACCUUGUUUGUACAACACCUCCUGAGUGAAUAGGGACUUUGGGGUCUGAGAUAGUCUGUAUUCUUGGGUUAUUGUGCCUGUUGUCUUUGGCCUACUCAGGGAUUUUUAUUCUAGUCUUUAAAUAACUUAUCUUUUACAGGUAUUUUUAAAUGAUUUGAAAAUUUUUCCAAUAUAUGAGUUACAAGGUGAUAUUUGUUACGAGGGAAGGCUGUUUCAUCAGAGGCUGGGAGAUGGCACAAAGUGCUGAACAGGCAUCUCAUUUGUAAGUGCAUAAAUUUGUAAUAAUAAUUGUAUGCAUUUUUGUCUUUUAAAGUAUAUGCAACCACAUACACAUGUAUGUGUGUUCUUUCCAUGGCAGUAACUUAAAAGUAAUCAUUUAUGGAUAUUUUACUAAGUCAUAAAAAUCUUGAGAAGAGUCAGAAAAUGAAAAAAAGUGUUUCUAUGUCAGUGCCAACUUGAAGGUAGAACAGUAGUAACCUUUAGAGUAUGUUCUGAAAACUGAAGUAUACAUGUUAAAUGUUCUUUAUCUAUGGCUUGUCAUGAUAUGUUACCAUUGUAAAUGUAUAUGUGUUCCUAAAGAAAAUCAAACCAUAUGGAACUAUAAAAUACAAAGUUCUCUGCUUAUCUAUCUACCCAUUGUUUUCUUGGGAGUGACUAUCAAUGGUCUGAGAACUAUCCUCCUAGAUGCUUCCUUCCUUCUAAUGUACAAAUAAGUGUGUGUUCUUACGUGUGUACGUAUGUACCCUUGUGUGUUAGUUUUGUGCAAAUAGAAUGACAUCCUU